CUCACAUGACCACCAUACAAACCUCACUUAGCUUCCCCGCCGGCAUCACUUCCCAUCGGCUUCCACACCGGCUGCCACCCCCGUCAAGGAGAUGUCGUCGCCUUGCUUGUAAUAGCUCCAAGGGUGGAACAGGGAUGGUCGGGUUUCAUGCCAUCGAACUACAAGUUCGAGAAUAUGAGUUGGAUCAAUUUGGAGUUGUGAAUAAUGCUGUUUAUGCCAAUUACUGUGAGACUAGUAUGUUCCAAGUCUUCCAUAUGGUUGGAUUUAGUGAUGAAGCAAUACCAGCACUCCUUGAAUCGUCAUACAAAUUCAGUUCGCCUUUAAGG